AAGUAAAUAGCCUCUUUGUUUAUAUACUAUUACUAAUACUAUUGAUGUUACUACCCAGAAUCCGGUGUCACAAUCCAUAAACACACUAUGAUUUUCUACAAACAUCAGACUGAAAGAAAUUACAAUUGUUUUGGAAAUAAACAAAAAAUAGUAAUAUAGAGAAGUAGAAGGGGACGCCAGGGCCUGCGGAAGCCAGCAGGACUACCUUGAGUCUCCUAAUUGAAAAUAUCUGCAACCGACCUCUCGAUCAGCCACUACCUGCUCCAAAAUUUGCACAGAAAGUAUAGAGCGCAGUAUUAGUACAACCGAUCCCGUGUACUGGUAAGUGCCGAGCCUAACCUCGACGAGGUAAUGACGAGGCUACGGCAGGUCAAUUAUAAUAUAACCUGCAUACAGUGCAUAAUAAAAUCAGAAAGAAGGACUUGAUAAAAUAAAGCAGUAACUUGCAUGGAAUGAAUACAAAACUCAAGUGUCUUAUCAGUAUCCAGCUAUAACCAAUCCUUAAGUGAAAUGCAAAGUUACGGAAUAACUUACACAGUAGAAGAAAGAUACAUAAACACAUAAACUGAUGUGGCGCGCAUCCCGAUCCCGCUAUAUAUCAAUGUCAAAAUGAAUAUUCACCCUUAUUACUCCAUAUCAAUCCACCCUUAUUCCUCCUGUUGCGGCGUACAACCUAAUCCCACCGUAUAAUAGCAUUUCACCCUUAUUCCUCCUGUUGUGGUGCGCAACCCGAUCCCACCGUAUAAUAGCAUUUCACCCUUAUUCCUCCACAUUAUAUCACCCUUAUUCCUCUGGUUGUGACGCGCAAUCGGAUCACACCAUAUCUGCAUCAUUUACUUAAUAAGUACAGAAAUUUCACAAUUUAACCCAAACUCUUCCCAAUAUUUAAACCUCAAACUAAAACAAAUGGAAAGCUUGUACAUUAUAAAAUUUCACACAAAUUAUACUACUCAGCGAAAACAAUCAAAAAUAUAACCUAAAACACCGAUAAUAUGAGACAAUAAAACUACGGGGAAGAAAUUAAGAAUAACAAUACCAGUAAAGCAUGUAGCAGUUAAGGCAGGGAAAAUAAUAUAAUGAGAACGGGAAGAAAACAGGCAAAACAGAUAAAUUGGCGGCACAUAGGUACUCGUCACCUCACCUAUACGCCACUCUCAUGGAUUUUCAUAUAGCAACUAAGUCAAGGAUUCCUAAUCCCUCGAGUCAAAGUCAGACACAACACUUACCUCGAUCCACUGGUCACUCAGUGCUCAAUUACCGCUUUUCCUCUGGAUUCCACCUCCAAACCACUCGUAUCUAGCCAUAAUUAACUUAAUAACAUCAAAUAUUGCUAAAGAAAUCAAUUUCAAUACAUAAAUUUAAGUUUUCCAAACUUUCCCCCAAAAAUCAAAAAUCGACCCCGGGCCCGCUUGGUUAAAACUUGUGGUUCAGACCAAAAACUAUUCAUCCAUUCAUCCCCGAGCCCGAAUAUGUAAUUAGUUCCGAAAUUCGACCCCAAAUCGAGGUCUAAAUUUUUAAUUUGAAAAAAAACCUCAAUUCUUCCAAAAAUCCCUAAUUCUACCAUGAAAGAACAAGGUUUAGGACUUGGAAUCUAAUGGGUGAUGAUGGAAGUUGAAGUAAAUGAGUUAAAGAGUACAAACCUAUGAUUCGGUGUUGAAUUUCCUCUUCAAAAAUUGUCUUAGGUCGAGUUCUAAUGAAAGAGAUAUGAAAUUUUGAAGAAUUUCUGUUUUUGGUCUGUUUUAAAAUUACUGGGCAGGCCUUCUUCGCACUCGCGAAGGGCCUGCCGCGAUCGCGAAGCAGCAACUCGAUUAGCCUACGCGUUCGCGAGAUAUUCAUCGUGUUCGCAAAGGCUUAUUCCCCCCAGCCUACGCGUUCGCGAAGAGUAUCAGUCAUUUCCCCUCCCCUAGGUCCCAUUUCUUCGCGUUCGCGAUAGAUAGAUGGCAUUCGUGAAGGGUAAUGCCCCCGUUGCUCCGCAUUCACGACCAGUCCUUCGCAUUCGCAAAGAAGAAAAUACCCUUGCCCCCAUUUUAACUUCUGCGUUCGCGAGAGUACCUCCGCGAGCGCGAUGAAGGGCAUACCAGAACAGCUGCUGUAGCAAAAAUACCAGAUUUUCUACGUCUAAAAUAUACCAUAGCCUAUCCGAAACUCACCCGAGCCCUCGGGGCUCCAAUCAAACAUGUACACAAGUCUUAAAAUAUCAUACGAACUUGCUAGCGUGAUCAAAUCGCCAAAAUAACACCUAGAACUACGAAUUUAGCGCCAAAUCAAAUGAAAUUCUCAAGAACACUUUAAAAUUUCUAUUUUCACAACCGGAUGUCCGAAUCACGUCAAACCAACUCCGUUUCUCACCAAAUUUCACAGACAAGUCUUAAAUAUUAUGAACUUGUAUCGGGCUUCAAAACCAAAAUACGGACCCGAUACCAACGAGAUCAAACAUUAACCAAAUUCUUAAAACCAUUUAAUUUUCAGUUUUCAAAUUUUCAUCAAAAAUUCAUAUCUCGAGCGAGGAACCUCGGAAUUCGAUUCCGGACAUACCCCCACGUCUCAUAUUUCGAUACGGACCUACAGGGAAUGUCAAAAUAUGAGUCCGAGUCUGUUUACUCAAAACGUUGACCGAACUCAACUAAAUCAACUUUUAAAGGCAAAAACUAUUAUUUUUAUCAACUUUCAACAUAAAAGCUUUCCGAAAAUAUGUCCGGACUGUGCACUCAAAUUGAGAAGGAAUAAAAUAAGGUUUUGAAGGCCUCAGAAUAUGGAAUCGAGUUCUAAAACGUAAGAUGACCUUUUGGGUCAUCACAUUUCUAUGUAUGACGUUAUUUGUCAAAAUCUCUACAUACUAUUCUUGUACCAUUAUAUAAGCCAUUUGAUGAAUGUAUUUUUUCUUCAAAAUUAACCUAUAUUAGAUGGAAAAUGAAUUUUAACUUUGUCCAAUAUAUACAUAACACUAAAGCCCAUAUCAAUUAUUUUAAUUGUCUGAUGCUUCGCAAUGAGCGCUACAUCCUAUAUUACUUAUGAUUUUCUUAUAAAUUUAAUAUUACCAUUAUACUUUUAUAUAUUUGUGAUGGUUAUUCAGUAGUUUGAAGAGAUAUGUUGAAAAUAAAUGAGUUGUACAUCCCUUAAUAAAAUUGUUGCUACUACACUACUUGUUGCUGUUGCUAACAGUUCUUAGUCAACCAUUUUCAAGUAAUGCAUGCUAUAUGAAUAUUUUUUCGAUCUCUUGGGGGAUAUCUACAAUGGAUAAUCCCGUUCUACAACAGUCUUCUCUUGCAAUAUAAUCCCUAUGUUUCAAAAAGAAUGAACCUCUUUCUUUUUAGUCAGUUUAAAAAGAAUGAUCCUUUUAAAAUUUAGAAAGCUUGUAACUUUAAACUUCUAAUAUUUCCCUUAAUAAAAUAAUUACUAGCCACACAAAUAUUUAUAGGUUGCUUUAGAUGACAAGUUUCAAAAGUUUUCUUCUUGUUUUAAUACUCCACAUCCAAACAAAUAGGUUCAAACAAAUUGAAACUGAGGGAGUAAUCUUUAAAGCUGCUCGUGUUAAGGAUUUAGCUUUGAUUGUGGAUUAAAAUCUUCCUCGAGCGCUUAUAUAGCCUUUUGACUCUUGAUACUAUCCUAAUCGAUUUUGUGUGUUUUCUAAAUUUUGUCACCUUUCUUAUGUAAUAAAUUUGUGUACCCCAAGAGUUUUAUAAACUUAGAAAAAUAAUUUUAUGUUUUGAUUAAUUUGAAAAAGAAUGAAUGGGGUUCUCUCGCUAAAUAGUUAACUGAAAAACUUAAUUAUUUGGUCUUAGUAUUUUUUGUUGAUUUAAAUUUUUAAUAUUAGUUCAUCUCAUAUUUUAAAUAUUCAACUGUAAUUAUAAUUCAGUCACUAAAUAUUGAUUUGAUACUCCACUUUUGAAUCUUUAUGAUUGUAAAAAUAUUAGUAUUAUUAACUCUUACCAACUAGUUUUCGUUCUCUCUCAUACAAAUAUUCAUAAUUCUUUCUUAGUUAUUUGUUUUGAUUAUUACUUGUAGUUAGUCAAUACUACAAAAUAUUUAUGAUUAGUAUUUGGUAAGAAAUAUAUUCAUAUUAUUGUUCAUAUAUAUAGUUUUAAGAUAUAUAGGGAAUUACAGUUAUAUUACAUUUUCUAAAUAAAAAUAAUGAAAAUAUUAACUAAACCUUUGGUUGGUGGGAUUAUGGUAUGACAUAUAUCGAAUAGAAAAGGGAACUGGAGAUCGAACUUAUUCAUAGCAAUAUUGAUGCUGCUCAUUGUUCACGUCAAAAUAUUAGUAGGAUUAAAUUAAUAAUAGUAAAUAUUGCCGAACGUGUAUGUCCUAAAAGUGGCCUAAUGUGUAUGUGUCACGACUCAAAAAUCACUGGUCGUGAUGACAUCUAAUUUGACCCGCAAGACAAGCCAAUUAACUAAUAGAAACAACCAAAUAACUUAUAGAAAAAAAAGAAAGUUAGAAUUUAUUUGAACUUUCACAGAUUUUACCCAGGAACUGGUAGUACAAGUCAUGAACAUCAAGAAUUUAGGAUUUUCAAAGCUAAUACAACUUUUCACACAAUCUGUUCGAAAACUACGUAAACAGAUUAAGAAUGUCUAAAACUACCAAGAACAAGUGGCGGCUUCAACUGUUAUACCCCAUUUUAACACGGGUCAAACCAGAGUAUAACAUAUUGGUAAUUCUGAAGGUUUAAUUAAUUAAGAGAGUCGCCACCUAAUUAUUUUUAAAGGUGAAUUAGGACACCUAGUUACAAAAUAAUGCUUAAAAUCAACUAUGUUUUAUGAUCUGCUUAAUCUUAAGAUUAUGAGUAAGGGUUCUAAUUAAUCCUAUAGGGAAGAUUGUUAAAGCACCCUAUAUGAUCCGUUAAUUACGGUUAACCAGCCAAACUUAGGUUAAUUAGUAAAACAACUAAAUGAUGAGAAUAUACUUAUUAGAAAAGGGUUAAUAGUAAGUCAUUCCAAAGUAGAGAUUUACAAUCGGAGCAAGAAAAUUGUUUUAGACUGUUUCAAACUCAUAAAAGAAAAGUCCAAAACUAUUUGAAAACAAAAUUAAAAACUCAUUAAGUUUCCAAUAAUUAGCUAAGAAAAACAGUUCAACAAAGUGAAAUAAAAUUUAAAGCUUGCUUGGGUCAAAAAACAUCUUCCUAACGAGAAGAGAUUAAUCACUAAACUUGAAACAAAUCUAAGAUUCACAAAAUGUUUAAGGAAAAUUACUUUCGCGUGAGGAAAUACUUUACAAGUUCAAAAUCACAAAUCAUUCCAGCCAAGUGCAUUUAACAUUUAAAAGCAAAGGGAUAUUAAAUUAUUGAACUCCCAAAAAAUCAAACCUAAUGUAGAUAAAUUUAGGAUAACUAUAGACUUCUAGACCUCUACCCCAUAUUCUUCUUGAUAAAACAAACAUCCUUAUUGUUACCUAGUAAUAACUCUAAAUGAUCUAAGACCCAGCUCUUAUAAACAAACAAAUAGUCACAACAAACACACAAGUAAAUAUUAGUCAGUAAGGAUAAACCAAAAUAAGUUAAAAUAAUGUAAUAAAGCUUCUAUCCAAUUGUCAGGAGGAUAAAUCUCCCCAAAUUUCGCUAUUCAAAGGGACGAAUAAAGGUAUGAGGGUUCACUUCGGCAGCGGCGUGGAGUCUAACUUUGAGACUCUUUGGCUCCGGUGUGUGUAACAUGCAAAGAAAAAAAAAUAAAAGAAUAAAAUUAGCAGAGGUCUUAAAUCUUCAACAAGCAUGAAGAAAAUGAAACAAUGAAGCUAGGCAAAGACAAGAUUGCAUUGAGUGUGUGUCCCAAGUAUUAUAGAGACAAGAAACAGAUCUCAAAAACUUCAAAUAGGAUACAUGUUGCAAGAAAAGGAUGUUUUUAUAAAACUUAAGAACGUAAUAUUUACCUAGCAAAUAUACUUGUAAGGAUCUAAGAAUGAUCUUUAACUACCACUCUAAAAAAUACUAUGGGCAUGCUUUUAUAUAUAUAUAUAUAUAUAUAUAUAUAUAUAUAUAUAUAUAUACUANNNNNNNNNNNNNNNNAGUACUUCUUCCAUAUGACAUUUAAAUAAGUAAAUAGUGGUUAAUCCAUAAAAAUUCAUGGCCUACAAACAUGGUUCUUAAAUAGUUGAAAAAAAUUCCAUACGCAAGUUCAUAUGAGAAUUUAGUCAAACACAUGGCAUUCUUAUUCAAACUUUCUAUUGCCACAAUACGCAAUGAACCACAAAUCAUGAUUUUUCAAUAAAAUAAUUCCUCAAGUAUGAUUUAUACAUAGAAAGCAAGUCACAUUCUUAAGCAAGCAUUUAUUCUGGAACUCAAAAUAAAAAUUAAAAAAAAGGGAGAAGGAAAUUUUUAAGGCUACGGACCUGCUUGGGGGCAGUGAACCGGAGCUUCAACCUCGAAUCUACUCUAUAUUGUCACCAACAGAUCCGACUUCUAGCUGAGUUCGAGUAUUCUGUUACGGCUAAAGUACGCUGAGACAGAAGCAAAAGUUCCAAAGAAACUUUUAGAGUUUUUGGGAGAUGAUAUCAACAACGAGAAAAUGAUAGUAUUCGUCAGGGGCACAAUUUGUGUGAAGUAGGCUGCUCCCUCCCAGAACUCUCCCAAAUGCGAGUAUUUAUAGGAGAUGUAGAGGUAGGGAUUGUAUUUUAGGCGGGAUAUUUUUCAGAUUUUGAUUUUGAAAUGGAGUCAAAAAGCCGUUCGAAUCCGAACGUUGGGAAUUUAAUGUUCAUGUGGCUUGGUAUGAGAAAGUCCUCUGAGAUCGAAUCAAAUCCCUGAAAAUCAGUUCUUUCCAUCUCAGAAAAUCAGAAUGCCAAAAGUCUUUUGGCCUCUUUUGUUGGCUAAAUCAUUGAAGACAAAGUUUGCUCAAAAAUAGAAGGGACAAAGUUUGUCCUUGGCUAAAGUGAAGCUUGACNNN
rnacentral:lncRNA from 1 species